AGCGGCGCGAGCUAGGGUUGUUACGAGACUCAGGUUAACUCCAGCAAGAAUUCCGGUAAGCCUCGAUUAGUUGAUUCAGUUGCAUGUUCCUUUUUAAGUUAGAUCGGCAUAUGUUGUUUCGGUUGAAGCUAUUUUCGAAGUUACAGAAGUCUGGUGAGGCUCCGGCGAGUUCUCCUGUGGUGACUGAUGAAACUUAGUCUAUAUCUAAAGCGGCCUUUGGCUUGCUGGUUAGUGGCCCUUCAGGGCAAAUAACUUGGAUUCGAGGCGGCCCAACAAGUUUGGAUAUUAGGAAUAUAAAAGAGGCUAUUGACGAACGGAAGCGGUGGUGGUGACAACCGACGGCGGAGAUGACCUCCGGUCGCCGGACAAGUGAUGAUUGACGAUGAUAGUUGCUUGGGUGCUGGUCUACCAAGUUUGGAUGCAACUGGAGGUUUGGUGAGGUAAUUCGGUUCAAUAUGCGUAUGUUUGGAACAACUACUGUAAACGGCAGGUUGAAAGGUGGGCAAAACAAUACAUUGCUUCUACUGGUGAAGGAAAAUCCGAAAGGAACCCUAAAAUGUUAACAUUGAUUGAUUGGAUACGUAAAAAUAUUUCGUCUGAAGAUUCUUCAGGAAGCACGGCAGGUCUUCUCCACCGUGAUUUUCGGAUGGAUAAUUUGGUUUUUCAUCCUAUUGAGGUUUGUAUUUUAAUAUUAUUUUGCACUCAAGUUCAUUUAUAUGUUCGUUAAUAUUUGAAUAACAUGUAGAAAUUUUUAAUCACAGGAUAGAUUAAUUGGUAUUCUUGAUUGGGAGUUAUCGACUCUCGAAAAUCAGAUGUGUGAUAUUACAUACAGUUCAAUGCUAAACUACCUUUUGUUUAUGAUACUAAACUCACAUUUGUAAAGUCGAAAUAAGCCCUUUUAUUUUGUUUUCUUUCUGCCAGUUGUAUAUUUGUGUAUUGCAGAUUUUUCACAGGGUAAAGUGAAACAUAACAAUGGUUUUGAACUCGACAUUUCUGAAGGAGUUCCUUCUUUAGAAGAAUAUCUUGCAGACUACUGCUCUGCUGCCAUAAGGGAAGACAAUGGCCUGUUGCCGGU
rnacentral:lncRNA from 1 species